GACGAACGCUGGCGGCGUGCUUAACACAUGCAAGUCGAACGGAAAGGCCCUGCUUUUGUGGGGUGCUCGAGUGGCGAACGGGUGAGUAACACGUGAGUAACCUGCCCUUGACUUUGGGAUAACUUCAGGAAACUGGGGCUAAUACCGGAUAGGAGCUCCUGCUGCAUGGGGGGGGUUGGAAAGUUUCGGCGGUUGGGGAUGGACUCGCGGCUUAUCAGCUUGUUGGUGGGGUAGUGGCUUACCAAGGCUUUGACGGGUAGCCGGCCUGAGAGGGUGACCGGCCACAUUGGGCCUGCGAUACGGCCCAGACUCCUACGGGAGGCAGCAGUGGGGAAUAUUGCACAAUGGGCGGAAGCCUGAUGCAGCAACGCCGCGUGCGGGAUGACGGCCUUCGGGUUGUAAACCGCUUUCGCCUGUGACGAAGCGUUAGUGACGGUAAUGGGUAAAGAAGCACCGGCUAACUACGUG
rnacentral:rRNA from 1 species